GAAUAUUGGACAAUGGGCGAAAGCCUGAUCCAGUCAUGCCGCGUGUGUGAAGAAGGUCUUCGGAUUGUAAAGCACUUUAAGUUGGGAGGAAGGGUUGUAGAUUAAUACUCUGCAAUUUUGACGUUACCGACAGAAUAAGCACCGGCUAACUUCGUGCCAGCAGCCGCGGUAAUACGACGGGUGCAAGCGUUAAUCGGAAUUACUGGGCGUAAAGCGCGCGUAGGUGGUUUGUUAAGUUGGAAGUGAAAGCCCCGGGCUCAACCUGGGAACUGCUUUCAAAACUGGCAAGCUAGAGUAUGGCAGAGGGUGGUGGAAUUUCCUGUGUAGCGGUGAAAUGCGUAGAGAUCGGGAGGAACAUCCAUGGCGAAGGCAGCUACCUGGACCAACACUGACACUGAGGCACGAAAGCGUGGGGAGCAAACAGG
rnacentral:rRNA from 1 species